AUGGCAUCAGCAGCAGUGGAUCCACAACCAAGCCUGGUGAUGAGGGUAGCCAACCUGCCCUUGGUGAGCUCUACCUACAACCUCGUGUCCUCCGCUUAUGUCAGUACAAAGGAUCAGUACCCGUAUUUGAGAUCCGUGUGUGAGAUGGCAGAGAAGGGUGUGAAGACUGUGACCUCUGUGGCUGUGACAAGCGCCCUGCCCAUUAUCCAGAAGCUAGAGCCUCAAAUUGCGGUUGCCAAUACCUAUGCCUGCAAAGGCCUGGACAGGAUGCAGGAAAGACUGCCCAUUCUGAACUAGCCAACAUCUGAGAUUGUUGCCAAUGCCAGAGGUGCUGUAACGGGGGUGAAGGAUGUAGUGAUGGCUACUAUGGCUGGAGCCAAGGAUUCUGUAGCCAGCACAGUCUCAGGGGUGGUGGAUAAGACCAAAGGAGCAGUUACUGGCAGCAUGGAAAGGACCAAGUCUGUGUGUGGUCAAUGGCAGCAUCAAUAUGGUUUUGGGAAUGGUACAGCUCGUGAACAGUGGAGUAGAUAAUUCAAUUACCAAGUUGGAGCUGCUGGUAGACCUCUCACUCAGAAGGAGCUGGAGAUGGAAGCAAAAAAGGUGGAAGGAUUUGAUAUGGUUCAAAAGCCGAGAUGUUAUGAAUGGCUGGAGUCCCUGUCCACCAAGCUCUGCUCUCAGGUUAUCACCAGGCUCUCAGCAGGGUAAAAGAAGCCAAACAAAAGAGCCAGGAGACCAUUUCUCAGCUCCACUCCACUGUCAAUAUGAUUGAAUUCACCAGGAAGAAGAUACACAGUGCCAACCAGAAAAUUCAGGGUGCUCAGGAUAAGCUCUAUGUCUCAUGGGUGGAGUUGAAGAGAAGCAUCGGCUAAGAUGACACCGAUGAGUCCCACUGUGCUGAGCACAUCGAGUCACGUACUCUGGCUAUUGCCUGCAACCUGACCCAGCAGCUCCAGACUACAUGCCAGGCUGUCCUGGUCAACGCCCAAGGAUUACCACAGAACAUUCAAGAUCAGGCCAAACAAUUGGGGGUGAUGGCCGGCGACAUCUACUCGGUGUUCCACAAUGCUGCCUCCUUUAAGGAAGUGUCUGAUGGCGUCCUCACUUCCAGCAAGGGGCAGCUGCAGAAAAUGAAGGAAUCCUUAGAUGAAGUUAUGGAUUACUUUGUUAACAACACGCCUCUCAACUGGCUGGUAGGUCCCUUUUAUCCUCAGUCUACUGAGGUGGACAAGGCCAGCCUGAAGAUCCAACAGUCUUGGCUCAAAGCCUAGUAAACCUGUCCUUGUCACCAGUGCAUGAUGUUGCUGGCCAGGUGACACCUUUUGCUGUAUUGAAAUUAACCUGAUAGAUGGCUUUACAUUAGAAAAGCAGCUAGUUGGAACAAAGGUCCUCAUUAUGAUCAUUCACAGCUCAAUUAUGGUCCUGCCCCAGCUGGCUCUGACACGAGUUCUUUUUACCUGGCUGGAAAGCGGUGUGUGUUAGUCUUGUGAGGACCUCACUAGAACCCAAAAGCUCAGGUGCACUUACAGCCUUGCAUGUGGCCUUUGUGUUAUUGGCU